UACGUAGGGGGCAAGCGUUGUCCGGAAUCAUUGGGCGUAAAGAGCGUGUAGGCGGCCCGGUAAGUCCGCUGUGAAAGUCCAGGGCUCAACCCUGGGAUGCCGGUGGAUACUGUCGGGCUCGAGUCCGGAAGAGGAGUGUGGAAUUCCUGGUGUGAGCGGUGAAAUGCGCAGAUAUCAGGAGGAACACCAAUGGCGAAGGCAGCACUCUGGGACGUGACUGACGCUGAGACGCGAAAGCGUGGGAGCAACAGG
rnacentral:rRNA from 1 species